CUACGGGUGGCUGCAGUGGGGAAUCUUAGACAAUGGGGGAAACCCUGAUCUAGCCAUGCCGCGUGAGCGAUGAAGGCCUUAGGGUUGUAAAGCUCUUUCAGUGGGGAAGAUAAUGACUGUACCCACAGAAGAAGCCCCGGCUAACUCCGUGCCAGCAGCCGCGGUAAUACGGAGGGGGCUAGCGUUGUUCGGAAUUACUGGGCGUAAAGUGCACGUAGGCGGAUCAGAAAGUCAGAGGUGAAAUCCCAGGGCUCAACCUUGGAACUGCCUUUGAAACUCCUGAUCUUGAGGUCGAGAGAGGUGAGUGGAGUUCCGAGUGUAGAGGUGAAAUUCGUAGAUAUUCGGAGGAACACCAGUGGCGAAGGCGGCUCACUGGCUCGAUACUGACGCUGAGGUGCGAAAGCGUGGGGAGCAAACAGGAUUAGAUACCCCUGUAGUC
rnacentral:rRNA from 1 species